GACGAACCGUGCGAACGUUGUUCGGAUUCACUGGGCUUAAAGGGCGCGUAGGCGGACUCGCAAGUCUGUGGUGAAAGCCCCCAGCUCAACUGGGGAAGUGCCGUGGAUACUGUGAGUCUGGAGGAGGGUAGGGGCAUCUGGAACGCUGGGUGGAGCGGUGAAAUGCGUUGAUAUCCAGCGGAACUCCGGUGGCGAAGGCGAGGUGCUGGACCCUUUCUGACGCUGAUGCGCGAAAGCCAGGGAGCAAAGCGGG
rnacentral:rRNA from 1 species